rnacentral:rRNA from 1 species
UACGUAGGGUGCGGGCGUUGUCCGGAAUUAUUGGGCGUAAAGGGCUCGUAGGCGGUUUGUCGCGUCGGGAGUGAAAACUCAGGGCUUAACCCUGAGCCUGCUUCCGAUACGGGCAGACUAGAGGUAUGCAGGGGAGAACGGAAUUCCUGGUGUAGCGGUGAAAUGCGCAGAUAUCAGGAGGAACACCAGUGGCGAAGGCGGUUCUCUGGGCAUUACCUGACGCUGAGGAGCGAAAGUGUGGGGAGCGAACAGG